CUCAGCAACACCAAGGAGACAGACACACAAAUGCUGUCAGAACAAAUGCUGGUUGCCAUGGUCUCAAGAUGCUGAGAGGAGCACACUGGCAGUGCCCCCAGCUGCCCAUUGGCUGGUUCUGACUUAAGGUUCUACCUCAGCUCAGAGUCCUUGCCCAUUCCUGCCUGAUGCACUCCCUCCAAAGCCUUCUCACUCCCCAGCACAACCCAUGCAGUCAGCCCAUUUGGUCGCUUGAAGUCUGUGUUUCCUCCCAGAAGCCAUCCCAUGAGCUCACGUGAGAACACAAGAUCAGAACAGCUGAUGGCUGUAAAAGCACUGGUCAUGGAAUAAGCUUUUCACAAGAAAAAUGAAAUCAGCUACCAAGAUGCACUGCCUCUUUGUAUUCAAGCAGAGGAAGCAACAUUUGCAACUGCAUAUUUCAGAGCAUGACACAAUACAAAUAGAUGCCCUUGGAAUAUCAAAUUAUUUGUAGCUUUUGAAGGCAUUUGAAGACACAAACAAACAAACAGAACAGUGCUUGGAUAGAUCAGCAAUCUCUACUCAAGAAAAGAUUAAUGCAGCAGUAGGGAAGGUACUUGACCCUGAACUGAGGUGCUGCUAAGAAGGAUCAGCGUGAAGUAACACCACUACAGAAACAUCUCCUUACUCCACUUUCUGGCAGUACGGCCAUGGGAAGGCACGGAGCUGAACACAUUUCAGUGAGAGGGCGUUUUGCACGUGUCCAUACUCUGCUCCUCUAUUUACCCUCUGUAAUUAAAAGUGAAGUGAGUAAUCAUGCUGGAAAAGCCUGCUACGCAUCCCCUGGGGUUCAUACUAUUCUUCGCAAUCCAUUCAGAAAGCACCAGUAAGGAAUUAAAGGACCUGUGAUAUGAUUGAAAGAAGUGAAAUUUCAUGCCCUGUGGACU